rnacentral:lncRNA from 1 species
CGGAGCCAACUAGUUUCAGUGGUGAAUCAAUAAGCAGUCCGUUGACAUUUCAUACGUUUCCAUCUAUUUGUAGCACGACUGUGAUUUACUUUAUUAAUUUCUUAGGGUAAGGCUAAAUAUUAACCUUUCUUUUUAUUUAUUUAUAUUUUUUUUUUUUGUGGAAUCAGUCCAUUGAGGACAUUAAAACAUUCCAAUUUUCUUCGAGUCAUGGUGUCUUGAAAAUAUCGUUGCCAGACAUGAACAAUCGUCAUCAAGGCAAUGCCAAAUUUUGUUAGUUCUGAAACCAAUGCCGGUCAAGAUGGGUUGCUUAUAAAUAUAGCAAAUAAUUCGACUUUGGAAAUAUAGCAAAUAAUGCCGGUCAAGACUAUGUACUGGAUUCAUAAAUCCAUCAGGACCGUUC